rnacentral:rRNA from 1 species
AUUCGCCCUUCCUACGGGGGGCUGCAGUGGGGAAUAUUGGACAAUGGGGGAAACCCUGAUCCAGCGACGCCGCGUGAGUGAAGAAGUAUUUCGGUAUGUAAAGCUCUAUCAGCAGGGAAGAAAAUGACGGUACCUGACUAAGAAGCCCCGGCUAACUACGUGCCAGCAGCCGCGGUAAUACGUAGGGGGCAAGCGUUAUCCGGAUUUACUGGGUGUAAAGGGAGCGUAGACGGCACUGCAAGUCUGGAGUGAAAGCCCGGGGCUCAACCCCGGGACUGCUUUGGAAACUGUGGUGCUAGAGUGCAGGAGAGGUAAGUGGAAUUCCUAGUGUAGCGGUGAAAUGCGUAGAUAUUAGGAGGAACACCAGUGGCGAAGGCGGCUUACUGGACUGUAACUGACGUUGAGGCUCGAAAGCGUGGGGAGCAAACAGGAUUAGAUACCCCUGUAGUC